AAACCUCCCAUCUCCAGGACAACAACUUACAGAGUUUGGGACAGAGGUGGCUGUAAGUGGAGAUCAGCAGCCUGCUGGGGUGCUGCAUGGGAUGACAACAGGAUAGACAGGUCUGUGCCCAUUGGAGCUUGUGCCACCAGAGGGCGCUACAGCAGAGUGCUAUUGAGCGUGGGGAAAUAUCAUUACAAGGAGUAAAGCAUUAGCCUGAGUCAGAUGGCAGAUCACUUUCAUUUGAAGAGUGGGUGACAGAGAUAAUCCACAUAAUGUCUGG